UACGAACCGUACGAACGUUAUUCGGAAUCACUGGGCUUAAAGGGUGCGUAGGCGGCCUGGCAAGUUGGGUGUGAAAUCCCUCGGCUCAACCGAGGAAUUGCGCUCAAAACUGCUAGGCUUGAGAGAGAUAGAGGUGAGCGGAACUAAUGGUGGAGCGGUGAAAUGCGUUGAUAUCAUUAGGAACACCUGUGGCGAAAGCGGCUCACUGGGUCUCAUCUGACGCUGAGGCACGAAAGCUAGGGGAGCGAACGGGAUUAGAUAUCCCGGUAGUCCUAGCUGUAAACGAUGAGCACUGGGUCGAGGGGGAUUCCACACCUUCUCGGCCGUAGCGAAAGUGUUAAGUGCUCCGCCUGGGGAGUAUGGUCGCAAGGCUGAA
rnacentral:rRNA from 1 species